GAUUUUUUUAAAAUAAUUUUGAUUAUUUUUUUAAAAUAAUUUUGAUUAUUUUUUAUAAUUUUUUUUAUACUGUUAUUUGUAUUUUCAGGUUUCACCUUUCACCUUUCAUAUUGUAUAUUUUUUUCAAAACUGUUCUUUUUUAUUUUCAAACAAAAUCCUUUGCACUUCUUAUUUGUAUUUAUUCUUCCUGCUUGCUUUCCAUUUUACCGGAAACAUUUUAAAUAUUUUUUUAACAUAUUCGCAAGAAAAUAUGUUGCUUCAAACAAAAAAGUAAUAAUAAUUGCACACAGUGCAUGAGUUAUCAUCUGCAGUCUUCCCAAGUUUGCUUUCUUAUUUUACAUUUUACAAAUAUUUACCUUUUCAAAUAUUUUUUCGACUAAUUUUUUAGUCUAAAAUACUUAUUUAUUUAAUAUACACAUAUACAUUUUGUGAAUUUUACAAAUUUCUCCUUUCUUCAAAGACUUCUUUUUCAAGUCUCUCAAGUAUAAAAAAUUUAAUUUUUUUAUUAUAAUAUAAAAUUUGAAAAGCAAAAUUCUAUUUAUCAGCUGUUCUGCGGCAAUAUUUGAGUUUUUUAUACACAUUAGUUUGUAGUUAAACAAUUUUAAUAAUUAAAAACAAAAACAAAAAAAAAACAAUUUUAAAUUAGUUUUGUAAUCAGUAGUGUUAAGGCGCUAACCAGACUAUGCGAAUUCUACAAAAAAAAAAAAAACAAAAAAAAAGAAAAAAGAAAUAGCAUAAAAGUACUAAAACAAAAUACCGUUACAUAUAAUAAAUUCGAUAAAUAUAAACUCAAAUAGCAAUAAUAUUAAUAACUAUACAAUUAAUAAGAAAAAAAAUUAAUAAAAAUUUAAACAAAAAAAAUCAACAAAAAAAUAUUUCACAUGAAUUAGAAGUUUGUGUGAAAUAAGUGUUUUUUUUUAAUAUAAAAUAAUUAAUAUAAUUUUAUUUUAUUUAGCGGUUUCCAACUGCAAUGUUUCAAGAAGUCAACGUCGCAAGAGAUUUGUUGGAGAAAAAAUGAGAGAUUAAAAGAAAGUUGUUUAAAUCACUGUAAUGCCGUUAUUUUGAACAAAAUGAAAGCCAGUUUGUAAAUGAAAGCCUCUAAGCACUUUACUACAAUCAAAUUCCUUAACAAAGUAUUUUUGUACAAACAAAACACUUCUCGGAAAAAAGCUUCCAUAUAAGGAUCAAGAUUAGUCAACAAUCAAAACAUCCAGAACGCAAACUGCCAUUAAAACCUUAAUAAACACGACUUAUGAAAAAGCUUUGACAAAAAGUGGAGCUAUUGCUGUAAAAGAACCGCUAAACGUGCCGAGAUCAUCAGAAGUAUCUCACUGAGAGACUUGAAUAUCUACUUCUCAAAUGAGUACCAUUCUCAACGGAAUAGUCUAGACAAUUUUUGAAGCUUAAAGCUUAAAAGAAUGGACUUACGAAAAACUUUCACUGACAAAGAACCGUUAAACUCUCUCAAAACCAGCUCAGUGAGAGACUUGAAUAUCUACUUCUCGAAUUCUCAACGAAAUGGUCUUGAAAACUAGCAUUAUUUCAUCUUUGAAGCUUAAAGCUUUCUUGAGUCAAAUUCAAAAACUCAGCUCCAAUGGAAACUGGUACAUAAAGCAUAAAAGACUGGAUUUACAAAAAGCAUCGAAAGAUUUCACUGAAAAAUAACGGCUAAACUUUGCCGAGAACAUCCGAACCAGCUCACUGAGAGACUAGAAUCAGCGAAAUAGUCUUGAAAACUAAAAUGACUUCAUCUUUGGAGCUUAAAGCUUACCUGAGUCAAAUUCAAUAACUCAGCGCCAACUUGGAUUGUUCUAAACUUUCCUCAGACACCAAAAGUUAUAAAAUUUUUUUUCCAAGCGAAUAACCUCAUUUAGCACACUCUUAAGACGCCGUUUUUGUUUUCUAACUCAUGAAGAUUUCGAUAUUUCAAUUAAUUUGGCUUUCUGUCGAUUUUUAUAUGUAUUUCAAAAAGUGGUCCUCACGGCACAGCAGCCACUUCUACAAGUUCACUUCAUCAAAUCACCAAAAGAAAUCAUCAAUCAAUCACUUCAUUAAAUUUAAGAAAAUAAGCCACAAAGACGGUACGUUCAAGAGGAAUGGUGUUGAAAACGCAGGGGAAAUUUACCUUAAAGAGCGCAUGAAAAAUAUCCCAUCCUUGCUGCAUAUGUAUGAAAGUGUGUGAGUGAAAGAGACAAACAGUGUGACAGCAGCGAUUGGGUUGAGAAAAAGAAUACUCUCCCUGAAAAGUGAUGUGAGGAGAAGCGGUGAGCUGACACCUGCUUGGCGCUCACUUACUGGGGUUGCUCGUGAAACCGCAAAAUAAGAUGUGAUGCGUCGAAUGGAGCGCCACUCACAAAGUUGAGCUGUUUUCUUGUCCAAACGAAGCUGCCAAAAAUCGUAUAGAAUUAUUACAAUAGACAUUUCCUUGAAGCAUACGCAUAAAGUUUAAUGUAACACAUUUUUAAACACGGUUUAAAUAAAUCAAACCGUCUGGCUGCGCUCUAUUGGCACUACCACUUGGCAGCACUGCACUUUGAAAUGUAAACAAAAAAGUCUAACUGUUGCAUACCGUUAAGUGAAAAAUUGAAUUGCAUUUUAAAAAUUCAUCGAUUUCAGCGCAUGGAAGCCUCAAAAUUCAAUCAAAUCAUGCUUCAAAAUCCAAAGAGUGUUUUCAACUUUUCAAUCAAAAUAAUGCCAUUCAACACAUUUUGGCCUCAGCAGACUUCCUGUCCCCAGUGCCACUCCAGCACACACACACACACACACACAUGCACAUACAUACGCGGCAAAGCCAGCAACCGUCGCACAAUGCAAAAUGGAUCGAGUAUGGGCAAUAAAAUGUCAACUGGCAUUUAAAAGAGACUUAACUAUUUAAAUAAUCAAAUAGCCAUGUUUACUCACCCAAGCAACGGAAUGGUUUGAUCCAACGAUGUGCCCCUUUGCAUUUGGCCGAAUUCAAAGCGCCCUGACGACACCAGCCGCCGAUUUUCUGAUAAUGCGAAGAUUCAACAAUAUUGGUGAUGUCACGAUUCGGAUAAGCCUGCAAGAAACGGAGUAGAGGCAAACAAAAUAAAAGUUGUGCGCUCCCCAGACAAGUAAAAAUGUUAUAUAUAAAAAAAACAACACAUGGCGACCCUAUCCAGUAGCUGGCAGUUAAAAUUUGCAGAGGAGACUGUUGGAAUUUUGUAUACCAUUGACCCAUUUUGGAUAAUAUGGUUGAACGCACACAUCCACAGACACAUGGAAGAAGCAGCGAAGUGGCCUUCACAAACUUCCACAUACACUUGAGGCUACACCUCCCUCACCCACCCCAAGCGACUGAAGGACAAAAGGACGUUUGCAGAGUUUCACCCAGAAAGCGAUAUUAAAUUGCCAGAGGCGCGAAUAUUGUGAUGCUACAACAACAAAAAAUGUCUGCCAUUUCACCUUUAAAAAGAAAAAAAGAGGCGCGUACGCCACAGAGGGAAGGGUGAUGUGCCACUUUAAAGCACCCACCGUUUGUCUUCAAUUUGAAAAUUCUCCGAAUUUGUAUUUUAUUUUAUUUGAAAUUUGUUGUUAUUGUUUUUUUUUUCAAAUAUAUUUAUUUACACCUUUUCAUUGCAGUUUGCAACUGGCGCCCCCAUUCGCUGGACUCACCCAUUUAUUUCUUAUUAACCAUUCACACCCCGAAAAUCAAUUGGAAAUUUGCUUCUUGCACCCAAAUGAAAUGGAGAGUUCUAAAUGCAGAAAGUAGAGCAAGAAUGUCUGCUGAGGUGGGCUGUUGACAGUUUUACGACAACUUCUCAUUUUGGGCGCUACGGAAGUGGUGUGUUGUUGCUGCCAAAUGAGAGUGACUUUCUUCCUGCCGCAGCCAUUUUGCUUCAGCUGCGCUUUAUUGAGCUUUUCUGUGCUGCCCCCCUUAACGCUCUCAGCGCCCGCUUUGGCUCAUUGCCGAUAUUGCGAUGUUUGUUGUUUUUGUUGUUAUUGUUGCAGGUGGACACCGAAUUUGGGUCACUUGUGCGCCUUCGAAGUGUGUCGAGCACAAAUAAGGUGGCAGUUAGUGGCUGUGUGUGUGUGUCCGUGCGCUGGUUAAACAAAAUUUACUGUUUGUCUCAACGGGAGUGGCGUCGCAAUUAUUUCCGCAAUUUUAUGAUGCUCCAUUUGAACAAAUUGAAAAUCAAUUACGUUUGAGGGAGUCACUAAAUGAGCAAUUGACAAGCCGAAAGCAAAUAACAACAAAUAUACAAUGUAAACUCACGCCAAAUAAUGUUUAAAAUGCAAAAAAUUCACAUAAAAACUGAAAAUAAUAAAAAUGAAAAUUUUAAUAAAAAAAGUUGUUU